rnacentral:misc_RNA from 1 species
GAGCUACGUUAGUCAGGGUGAUGUGCAAAACACGGAUCCCUUGGCUUUUGAACGCAAAUUGCGGCUAAGAGUGUCAAAGCCUUAGCCUUACCUGAGUGAGGGUCGUUGUAGAAGUUUACACUACUCAUGGUGCGAUCAUCUGUCUCUCUAAGAGAAGGAUGGAGCGCUGUAGUUUCGGGACUGCUGUAGUCGCCGACUGUUAAAAAGACAGUCUGACUCGUUUGCAGUGUCGAUCUCUCUCUGAGGGAAACUCCAACUAAACUCGACCUCACUUCAGGUAAGAGCACCCCCUGAACUUAA